rnacentral:rRNA from 1 species
UCAAUUCCGUCCGAUGCCGUGGCACCUUCCACUGAAACAGCAAGCUACUAUUGUUUCUGUAAAGUGGCUAGGAUCGUCGUCGGUGUUGGUGGAAUGCACUUCCCCCUAGUAGAAAAAAAAACCGCGUCCCGUUGGGUGCCAGUCUCAAGGCCCGAUCGUUUAGUACGACCUUCCCACUGAUCAAAAAGUGGUCGAGGUCGGAAAUGCGGUGACCUGGCUGGCUGCCCGACGGAAGGACAGAUGAGAAUCCGCUUGAUGCAUAUGCUGUGGAGCGUCUGGGCAGGCAUCGAUGGUGUGCAAGGUCGUGGCCUAUUUAACUGCGAAUUAGCCAUUGAAUUCCUUCCGCCGUCAUGUCUCGCCCUGAGACCGGAAUUUCCAGUCUGCGGUAUCUGUCGGGUGUUCUCCCGACCCGUCUUGAA